rnacentral:rRNA from 1 species
GUCUACAGCCACACCAUCCUGAAUGCACCUGAUCUUGUCUGAUCUUGGAAGCUAAGUAGGGUUGGGGCCUGGUUAGUACUUGGAUGGGAGAAAAUAAACAAAGAAACCUAUAAAUG